UACAUGUAUAUAAGAAGAAAAUCCCACGACGUGAAGAGCAAGCCAGUCUCUGAUAUGUUAUGCCAGCCUAUAUAACCAAAGGGUAUUGGAGGAAAUUCCAUUCAUAACUACUACAUUAUAAUGCUAAACAGAAGAAGAGGUAAAAAGGCAGACAAUUCUAUUUCUCUUUUGUUCCAAAACUAAAUAUCUACUAGCAUCACAAAAAGAAAAGCUUUAAAAAAAAAAAAAAAAAAAAACAUACAAACAAAUAAA